CCUACGGGAGGCUGCAGUGAGGAAUAUUGGUCAAUGGCCGGAAGGCUGAACCAGCCAUGCCGCGUGAAGGUCAGUGCCCUAUGGGCGUUAAACUUCUUUUGUGCGGGAGCAAUAAUGGUCACGUGUGGCCAGACGAGAGUACCGUACGACUAAGCAUCGGCUAACUCCGUGCCAGCAGCCGCGGUAAUACGGGGGAUGCAAGCGUUAUCCGGAUUUAUUGGGUUUAAAGGGUGCGUAGGCUGUGAGGUAAGUCAGCGAGGAAAUGCCCCCGCGCAACGGGGUGAAGUGCCAUUGAUACUGCCUUGCUGGAAUGCGGAUGCCGUGGGAGGAAUGUGUGGUGUAGCGGUGAAAUGCAUAGAUAUCACACAGAACACCGAUUGCGAAGGCAUCUCACGAAUCCGCGAUUGACGCUGAUGCAAGAAAGCGUGGGUAUCAAACAGGAUUAGAUACCCUAGUAGUC
rnacentral:rRNA from 1 species